UGAGGCUUCAUGUCAUUGUCUUUGGUUUG
rnacentral:piRNA from 2 species